rnacentral:lncRNA from 1 species
CAAGGACUUUUUGCAUACCAAUUAUCCUCAGCACUGAGUGCCUGAUGCGUGGCUCCCAAAUUCAUCCAAAUUACCUGGUCCCAGGGAGCUGCUGCCCGCAAGUUAAAUUGAUGUCAGCAUGUCUAAAAACCAGAUUCAUGAUUUAAGAGCUUAAACAACAAUUCUACGCUUCCAAGCUUGAAGAGUGUGCCUUGAAUGCUCCUCUCUGAUUUUUUACUAGGUGCAGAUGUAACCCUUCCAACACAGUGGGUUACACAAGUGCCUAAUUGCAGAGCAAGGAGGAAGCACCAAGGAAUGCAUCUCCGCGUCCAAGCACUGGGCUCUGGUUUGUCCACCUCUCCCUGGGCUGAGACGAUGCAGAAACAAGCAAAGAGAAGGGACUUGAUCCCAACAAGAGGGAGAAGGGCUGUGGGAUGAAGAGCUGCAAGAACGGUGAGUGAGGGUUGGCUUUCCAAUCAACACAUUGACCUACUGCUCAUUUUGGUCAUCAGGGAGCUGAAGAGAGCCCUUGGGCCUACAGGCAGUGUUUUGGGAUCCAUAAAACGCCAGACAAGCUCUAUUGCAACUGCCCUGUACCCCAGAACAGAGCCUGAUGUCCUUGUGGAGGUGAUUCUCCCAUCAACCAAGGUCUCCAGAGGGGCUGAGAGGGGCAGAAGAGGCUGAGGAGCUGGAGCUGCUGGGGCACAGCCAGAGACCGCAGGGGCCGUAUUCGGUGCCUGCCUCAAGUCUGGGCAACCCCGUCUGUUCCCAUCAGGAGGCCCAGGCGGUAAAUUGGGCCCUGAAUAUAUAAUUAAGCAAAGGGCACCAUCCUGAAGCCAAGGUUCACACUGCUCUGUUGUGGCUGGGGUGGGAACAGCCCUGUGCAAAUCAGUCUCAGGAUGUUGCUCCUAGUCAGCUGGAAACUUGGUAGCUCCACUCCAUAAAGGCUGGCUCUAACGCUUCAGCUCCCCAGCUGGCUUCGGCAUCCUGACCGGCACGCAAUUCUGUGGCUUGCUUUUCUGCACGACAGUCUGGAAACCUUCCUUGAGAGCCUCUUGUUUGCUGGCUGCCAGGAUUUGCCAUGCAGAUUCUUGCCAAAAGGAUAAUAUAAACAAAGCAUAAUGUCAAGUUUCCCACACAAGUAAGAUGAUCUAUUAGCACUGCACUUUGUACUAAUUAUUGCACAGUGGGUGGGGGCUUGUGAAAGGAGAUUUAUGCAUUCAGCUAGCCUCACUUUUAUUAUUUGUAAGUACUUUUUGGCAAGGAAUGAGCGAGAUAUGUAUUUUAUUGUUACGCUGUUGCAAACAUCCUAAUCUUCCGCACUCAUUAAAACCUCAUAACAAAUAGUAAGAAUGAUAUAUUGCAGCCACAGCCAG